rnacentral:lncRNA from 1 species
GGGGUGGAGGGAGUCAGAGACGGAGAAGGCCUAGGAAGGCAGGCCUGAGGCAAGGAUGACGGAGUCACAUGAAGAGCCUGGAUUCGCAAACCUCCCAUUCACUAACUAGGCUGCGUGGAGCAUGAGAUGCCGCCAUUUUGGACCACGAAGUUGAAGGCUACUCUCUGGGGUUGGCAGACAGAACCAGAAAGAGCCUGAGUUCCUGAGGACUUCGCAGGUCAGAGCCGCCAUUCCUGCUCUGAUGACUUACCUCUGUACCCAUGAAAGACAAAUCAGCCGCUGCUAUCUCGGACCACUCCCAGAAGAACCUAAUCCUGGCCAGUACAGGUUUCAAGGGCACCGGUUCUUAGCAUUUGGGCACAUCAAUGAUCCCUUUGAGACUCCAAUGAAUGCCCUUGGACCAGCCUCCCUAGGAAAAUGCACAUUUGCAUAGCACUUUGUGUAACAGUUUCAGGGACUGCAUUUUGUUUCUUCCUGAAGACUAUCUAGGGACUCAUGGAUCCCUGGUUAAGAACCCCUAGAACUGAGAUUUUUGAGAAGAAAGGAUUAUAAUCAGCAGGCAGAUGGCUCAGAGAAAAAGUAAAAACUGGGAAGUGACCCCUGGAUUUGGUGUCAGGCUGUUGACACCAUUGGUAGGAGCAGUUUCAGUGGGGUGGGGUGGGGCAGAAGCUAGACUGUAGAGUUCUGGGAGAAUGGGAAUCCAGAAAGUGGAGGCAGCAAGUAUUGUCAACCAUUUGGAGCAGGAUGGUCCCAAAGAUAGUGGUGGCUGGGAGACAGUAGAGUCCAUAGGCUCCAGCGAGGGUUUUCUUGGAUUUCCUCUGCUUCUAGGGCCCGAUCAGCCAGAGUGAGGGUGACCUGGGAUACCAACACCAUUCCAUGUGGCAGCCCCCUGGUGGCUUUGGCCAUCAGUGCCCUGGGAAUGCCGAUGCCGUCUCAGAAACGAGCCAGGAGUGGGAGCCUGGGUUGGGAAACAUCCCUGAAGGGAUGAAGGCUGGAGGAUGAUCUUGGCUCACCCUGCAGAUGUUCCACACCAGGCCCCUGUAGCGUGUGGCACCUGGCUUCUACAGCUUGGACAACUCCUCCAGUAUCCAGCUCCUGCAAUGCAAGCGACUUCUUCAACAUCAGGGUCCUGCUGAUGCAAGCCAGGAUAGAUGGCUUCUUUAGCAUCCAUCUCCCCCAGUGCAUGGUGGCCAGAAUCAUCCGAAGGCCAGCAGCCUCCCCUGGCACUCCCACUACAGCACAAAUCGUGGGCUGGUUAUCCUCCAUUUGCCACUGCAGAUCCGCCUUCCUCCAUUCUCCACCCUGCUCCACGCACCGGGAGGCUGACCUCUGCAGAGUCCUUGUUGCUCCACCUUCCAGCUCAGCUCCGGUAACGGGACACUGGAAGGAGAGGAGAGAGCAGGAGGAGAGAGAUGUGAGCACAAUUAUUCCCCCGCUCCCUCUCAGCCAGACCUCAGGUGGGCAGUGGCCGCCUCCUCCACCUACAGUCCUGUCAGACAGUCUCUCUCCCACAGCCACAGCUUUGUUUGUUGCUCCUUCAGGACGAGGGAAGUUACUGCCCUCCCACAUCGCUACUCCCUGAGUGCUCCGCCAUUGCUCAUCUGUUACCUCAUCCCGGCCAGCACCUUUGUAAAUAAUCCUUCAUUAAACCCUUCAGUCACCAUGUUCGGCAAACCGUCUGUUUUCCGCGGAGCCCUGGCCAGUACAGCAGCCAUGGGAAGGAGGGGAGCAGGGGUCAGCGUUUGUUACAGAGGGGAUACAAGGAGAAAGACGGGGGCUUCUGACACGCAAAAUGGGAUCGUGGAGAAGGAUAAACGCCUUAAAGGCAGCCUCCUUAAAUUGCCUCUUCAGGUUAUUCUUCAGUUAGACUCGUUGCUCAUUUUCCCAUUAAGCAGGUGGGAAGUUGUGCAAGAGACUAGCUCAGCUAAAAACAAAGAUUAUAGGAACCACUGGUUUUCUGCACAUUCCUGGUUGAAGUGCAAUAUCAACCUGUAAGCACUAUGGGAACGUGGCUAACUAAAUGACAGAAUGACGGGAUGGAAUAUUAAUGAUGAUUACAGCAAACCUUAAUAAGCAACAGCUUAUAACAUGCUGCCAAGUGAAAAAGGAAGGCAGGAAACUUACGGUCAUCACGAUCUCAGUUAUGUUAAAAGCAUACACACACGAGCAGAGAAAAAGAGAACUUGUAAGGAAGUCACCAAAAUGUACAAAGAGGUUGCGUUUAGGUGGUGGAAUUAGGGGUGGUACUUAUUUUUUUCCUUUAUAUUUUUUUAAUACUCCAAUUUUUCUACAAUGAGCAUGAAUUGCUUUUGUAUCCAGAAUUUUAUCUGCUUUUUCUAAGAGAACAUGUGCGGCAUGAUCUGCUCACAUUAUCAGGAACGACCCAGACUGAGCGGCAAGUCCCAGCCAGGGCUUCCGUUUCCUGGGCGCCUGGGCCUGGUUAGUGCGGGAACCUUGGCAAACAACUGUCGGGUUAACUCUUUCUUCAGAAGAGAGGAGGAGGUGGUGCCACAGGGACCUUCUGCUGAGGGCUGCCGGUGGGAGUGCGGUCGCUAUCGUGAGUCCUGUCACCCUGGGUACCUACUGCGGAGAUCUGGGGAGUUCUUGUCUUCCAGGCAGGGUGAGUUGGGGCCAACUGUAGGGGGCUUCUGGAAAAUAAGUUGAGUCAGAAGUAGCCGUGUCCUUGGGGACAGGUGUGGGACUCUACCACCAGUGACACGCGCAGGGUAUGAAUGGUAUCCUUGGAGAGUGGAAAGCACCAUCAGGCCGGCUUAAUCAGGACCGGAGGGAACAUGUAAGCUGAUGUCCUUGUUCCUGCCGAGUGUGCGUCGUGCCUCGUGCCUUGUGCUUCGGAAGCCUAGCCGGCCACAGCAGACAUCUAGGCAAGCAGGCCCACAGGGACGGCCUCCUUACCGUCCUGGCUCCCUGAUGACAUCCCUGCAGGCUUCCCUCUUGAAUCAGCCACUGUGAAGUGAGGGCUAGGAGAGAACAGACGACACUUCUUGCCCUGACCGGUCUUCCCUUCCUGUUCUUUCCACCUUUGGCCGAGACACCACACAGAAGUGCAUUUUGGUUCUGUUUACAUUCUCGUCAGAAGGCGUGCUCAUUUCCAGGCAGCGCUUCUCACACAGUGAGGGACGUAAAGAUCAUCUGGGGCCCUUGUUAAAGCACAGGUUCCGACUCGGUCAUUCUAAGGUGGAGCCUGAGACCGGGCCUUUCUAAGAAGCCCCUGAUCCCACGGGAUGGAAGGGGCCCAGUCCUGUAUUCUAGGCUUAGUGGGAUACUGCCGAAUCUGUGAAGAGGAUCAGAACUCCAGUGUCAGAAUUAAUCACUGCUCCCUUCGUUUCCCCAACACCUCGCUCAAACCUUGAUACAGCUGCUGACAGCUGGACUCGCCUGCACCUCUGCCGCCCCGGGGCUGCUGGACAAAUCAUCUUUGGAGCCCUAAUACCUGGCAUGGGGGAUGCUCAGCAGCUUUUUUGAAUAAAGGAACAAACGCAUUAAUGGCUUUUGAAGGCAAUUUACAAAAGAUGUAGGUUGUUAAUAGGUAACAUUCCCCAAACUGUAUUCCCUGGGACACCAGUUCUGGGGGUGUUAAUAGAUAUUUGUUAAAAGAUGGAGGGGAGGUAAGAAGGUUCUGUAGUCACUUAAUCUGGAAAAUGCUGGAUUAAAAAUAGACAUCUGAAGAGCUUCUGGAGGCUAUAAUAGACUCGUGGUCAUUGCUAGUGUCUAGGAGAGGGAUCCAGUAGGCAGCGUUGCCCUCACUAAUAUGACCACAGAGAACUUUCCUGAGAAGCAUCUUAUUGCUUGUGUGCUGAGGAAUACAGGGACAGUCAUGACUCUGGGUAUUCAUCCAAGGAUUGUGGGUAAAAAUUAAGUUACGAAGGAGAUCUAGCUAGCCGGUAAGGGAAGAAGAUGUGAGAACCAAAAAGAAAUAGAGGCUUCCUUUUCUGUUCCCCUUGCCACCUGAGUCAUCAGACUGUGGGGCUCUCUCUGCUCUUCUGGAUUCCUCGGGGAGGAGGACACAAGGAGAAAUUCCGACUCCUUCUUCCUCCUCUGACCCACUGCAGUGGCUGAGAGGGAGAAGCCAGGAAACCAAGAGAGAAGGGAACCAGGAGCACUGCUUGGUGCUCAGUCCGCUAAAAGACUAAGGAUGCCCGUAAGUAUCCCCAGGAAGAGCUGUGCUCCAGCCAGAAGGCAGGGGAGGAUCGGAGUUUUAAAAGGGACCACAUACUGCAAGUGCGUAGCUGGGAUUAGAGUUGAAAUAAACUGACAAAAAGAAAGGAAGAGUCUAGAAAAAGGCCCCAAGUGAAUCCCAGAGUUCAUUUACCUUAAACAGUGGCUCCUAACUCAAGGCGAUUUUGCCCCUCCCAUUCCAUGUUCCUCAGCAUCUGGAGACAUUUUUGGUUGUCACAACAAGGAGGAGGGUGCUACUGGUGUCUAGUGGGGGGUGGCCAGGGAUGCUGCUCAACGUCCUGUAAUGCACAGGACAGCCCCCACAGCAAAGAAUUAUCAGGUCUCAAGUGUCAGUGGUGCCACUGUUGAGGAAUCUUGCCUUAAACAUUGUUCUAACACAUCACCUUGAAGUUAACAUUUAGGAUGUUGCUUAAAUUCAGCCGUUUUACCAUGAACAUUUGGGGAAAAUUUAUUCAGUAGGUGAAAAUCCGUGAUUAUGCAUUUGGAGGUCCAAAUCUCAGUCAGCAAUACUAUUUUGUAUGUUUAAACGACAUCAUAAACAACAUUACACGUUUUGCAAGGAGACAAAAAAAAAUAAACGGACUCACAACAAGUAUUUCCUUUAAUUUAAAAGUUUAGGAGCCAGCCCGGUGGCAUAGUGGUUACACACGCUUCGCUUCAGUGGUCUGAGGUUUGCAAGUUCGGGUCCUGGGUGUGGACCCACACACUGUUCAUCAAGCCAUGCUAUGCCAGCAUCCCACACACAAAAUAGAGGAAGAUGGGCACAGAUGUUAGGUCAGGGACAAUCUUCCUCACCAGAAAAACAUAUACAUAUAUAAAAAAUAAAAUUAAAUAAAAGUUUAGGAUGCUCAGAUUCAGCUGUUUUUUCAUAAAUAAUCUGGGGGAUAUUUAUUAAGUAGAAGGGGAUAAAAAAUACAAAUAAAUAAAUAAGAGCAGAUGUGGGAAGGAUCCCAUUGCAGGCUAUAUAAUUAGAGAACUUCUCAUACAGGUCCACGGGGAGACACGUAAGAGGGUGUUUUAUCACAAAGUUGUUUGUGAUGGUUGGGGAGCUGGAUACAAUGAGGUGUCCAUCAUUGGAAAGUCUUUCAUAAUAAGGAGCAGUAAACUAGCAACCAAUGGUGUAUACAUAGCAACGUAAACAGAUCUUUAACACACGGUGCUGAAGAGGGGAUAAAAACGUCAGGAACAGAGCCCUCUUGCACAAUAGUAUUGAUUGAAAUUAAAAAUACAUGCCCACAAGACAAUGCCUCAUGUUUUCAGGAACACUCAAAUAUAACGAUUCACAAAUCUUGGUCACAGUGCCAACUUUACAGUCUCUUGGGCAUUAGGCACCACUGCCACCUGGUGGUAGCAGUUCACAACUCAGGGUUUUUUUAAAAAUAAGAUGUAAUUCACAUACCAUGAAAUGCAUAAAUUUUAAUUUGAUGAAUUUUGACAUUUGUAAGCAUUAGUGCAAUCACCACUAUAAACAAUAUAUAGAACAUUUCCAUCGUCCCGGAAAGUUCCUUCCUUCCCUUUCUGGGAAGUCCUCCCACUCCUUACCCUAAACGUAACCACUGAUCUGUUUCUGGCACUGUAUAUAAGCUUCGCCUGUUGCAGAACUUCAUACACAUGAAAUUAUACAAUGUGUACUCUUUCGCGCUUUCGGGAAUCAUAAUGUUUUUUGAGAUUCAUCCAUGUUGUGACAUGUAUCAAUAGGUAAUUCAUUUUUAUUGCUGAGUAGUAUUCCGCGGUGUGAGUGUUUCACAGUUCGUCUUUCUAUUCACCAGUUGACGGACAUUCAGGUUGUUUCAACUUUGUGGGUAUUUCAAAUAAAGCUGCCAUGAAUAUUCAUGUAUAAGCCUUUGCGUGGCCGUACGUCUUGACUCAUCUUGGAUGGAAUUGCUGGGUCAUAGGGUGGACGUACAUGUAAUUUUUUA